GUGCUUGCUUUGGCAGCACAUAUACUAAAAUUGGAAUGACACAGAGAAGAUCAGCACUGCCCCUGCUCAAGGAUGACAUGCAAAUUUGUGAAGAGUUCCACAUUUUU
rnacentral:snRNA from 4 species